AGAUUAUACUGUGGCAUGAGCAGAUUACUUGUUAGAAUCAAGUAGAAAGAAUUUCCAAAAUUCAAAUACUUCUAGUUAGGAAAAUGGCUGGAAAGAUAAAUGAAAAGAAAGCAAAGCAAAGCAUCGUGAAUGCGAAGUAUAAGAUUUGCAGGACAUGAAAAAUGAGACAGACCACCAAACCAAGACACCCAAGAGCAACUACAGUCGUCAGCAUCAGCCAGUCCUACGUUUGAGAGUAAUGGAGUCCUUGCAGUGCCUAGCUUAUGACCUUUUGGGUUAAAAUCAUUGCAGUUUGAUAGUCUGUUUCAGAUAUUUGAUAUUCAAUGCGUUCCAACAAAGUGGAAUGUUGAGCCGAUGGUUUAAAUGGCCUGAAAUAUAUUGACUUUUACCAUUUUCUUUCAAA